rnacentral:tRNA from 1 species
GUAUCCUUAGCUCAGUUGGCAGAGCGUCUGGCUGUUAACCGGAUUGUCGCAGGUUCAAGUCCUGCAGGAUACG